GUUCCAUAAAUAAGAUCAUGUUUGUGGAAGCACUCUGAAAAGAGUAUCCCACUUUACACAAAUGUUUGUCAUUGUCAUUACUAUUACUAUGUAGGUCUGAAAACAGGCUGUGCUUUUUCCCAGUCUGAUUUGUGUAAGUCUUGAGAGGGUGAUACCACACACUCAGUGCUAUUCAGAGAGAAGCCAUGACUUAAAAAGAGACCUUGAGACCUGUAGUUAAUUCAGAAAGUUUUCAUAAAAGGGUCAUCAGCACUUCUCAAAAGCAAACACAUUAUGGAAGCCCAAAGUGAAGACCCCCAAGCACCUACUCAGGAACUUGAAGACGAAAAAAUUGAAGAAACCAUUCUUUUGGAAGAAUCAAAGAAAACUAAGAUAUUUAAAUUAUGGCCACCCAGAGGGCAAUUCAACAAAAUAGUAACAAAUGGUAUGUAAGAUCAAGUUAGAAGGGAAGGGGGAAAUUAUUUUUUUUCCUUUAAAUUUCUUUUUAAAUUAAUUACUUUUAGUUUUCAACAUUCACUUCCAUAAGCUUUUGAGUUUUAAAUUUCCUCCCCUUCACUCUCCUCCCUCCUCCCCAAGAUGGCAUGUAAUCUGAUAUAGGCUCUACAUAUAUAUUCCUAUUAAACAUAUUUUCACAUUAGUCAUGUUGUAAAGAAGAAUUGGAAUCAAUAGGAGGAACCACAAGAAAGAAGAAACAAAACACAACAGAAGAAAAAAAGAAGAGCAAAUAGUAUGCUUCGAUGUGCAUUCCAACACCAUAGUUGUUUCUCUGGAUAUGAGACUUUUGGAGAUGUCUUAGAUCGUUGCAUUGCUGAGAAAGGCUAAGUCUAUCAAAGUUAGUCAUCGCACAACGUGGCUGUUACUGUGUACAACAUUCUCCUGGUUCUGCUCACUUCACUCAACAUCAGUCUAUACAAAUCUUUCCAGGUUUUUCUGAAGUCCUCCUGCUCAUCAUUUCUUAUAGCACCAUAGUAUUCGAUUACAUUCAUAUACCACAACUUGCUCAACCAUUCCCCAAUUGAAAGGCAUCCUCUCAUUUUCCAAUUCUUUGCCACCACAGAAAAACUGCUAUGAAUAUUUUUGUACAUGUGGGUCUGUUUCCCAUUUUUAUGAUCUCUUUGGGAUACAGCCCUAGAAGUGCAAUUGCUGGGUCAAACGGUAUGCACAUUUUUACAGCCUUUUGGGCAUAGUUCCAAAUUGUUCUCCAAAAUGGUUGGAUCAGUUCACAACUCUACCAACAAUGCAUUAAUGGGGAACGGGGAAAUUCUAAGUAGAAUACUCACAACUCACUUUUGUAAGGUGCUUUAAGGGUUAAAAAGAAUUUUGCUCACAGCAGCUUUUCAUUAUUGUUAGGAAUAGGUUAGGAAACCAGAGCUUAAAUAGCUUAGUUAAAAAAAAAAACACAAGCCACACACACACAUAUCACAAAGCCAUUGCCUCAUUCACUCAUUAUUAUUCAGAUCCUAUGAUAUGACUGAUACUUGGUGUAGGCAUCAUUGUGAAUAAACAACUAGAACAUUUCCCCCA
ensembl:lncRNA